UUGUUGGCUGCUGUGGCAUCAUCAAGAUUCACAUCUGUUGAUGGACGGUGGUGAUUCACUCUCCACAAAGUUCUCUAUGAAAAUGAGAAUCUUGAUGAUGCUGCAUCGGCAAUCAA
rfam:Arabidopsis thaliana chromosome 2, complete sequence.